rnacentral:misc_RNA from 1 species
CAUUUAGAUACUUGAGGCACUGGCUGAUAUAAGCAGUCUUAGUGAAAAGAUUAUGUUUUUACUUUUCACACCCAGCUAUUAAAACACCAUUAAUAUUUCAUGGAUUACACUCAGUUUGCUAAUGAGGCUUAAAAAAUGUUGACUCUUCAAUAUUUCAAAUUCUUCUUCUUUUGAUUAGCUGAGCAUCUCGAAAAUCCUAAACUAGGCUUCCAAUUGAUGCAUUAUGGGAGAUUUUAAACGGACAGAACGGGUUCUUCUAUCGGUUGCUGGCAGCAACAUAUCCGGCUAUGAAGCACUCUAUCGACAGUUUGACAAAUUUGGUUCAGGUCACAUUGGAGCAACUGAUGCUGCUGUUUUUCUAAAGCGGUCUGGACUGAAGGAGUCUACAUUGCACAAAAUAUGGGAGCUAUCAGAUCCUGGUGGCAGAGGCUACUUAGAUAAACAAGCUAUUUUUGUGGCUUUGAAACUAAUUGCUCUUGCUCAAAAUGGCAAAGAUGUCUCAAUGGCAAGUAUCACUACUCCAGUACCACUACCCUCUAUGGCUAAUUACCCAGCCCAGGCCCCAAGAACAUCAACCCCUCCUGCUUCAAGCUCACCGGAACCAUGGGCAAUUAAGCCCGAUGAGAAGGUAAAUUAUGACCACACUUUUCAAAGUCUUGGACCAAUAGAUGGCAAGUUAUCAGGAGACAUGGUGAAACCUGUUUUAAUGAACUCAAAACUUCCUUUAGAGACACUUAGUAAGAUAUGGGAUCUUAGUGAUAUUGAUAAAGAUGGGUUGUUAGACAAAGAAGAAUUUGCUGUCGCAAUGCAUUUGGUGAGAAGGGCAAUGGAGAAUGAGCAACCACCAGCUGCCUUGACACCUAAUCUGGUGCCACCAUCAAGGAGGAAGAAACCUCUAAUGGCUGGAGCUGUUCCAGUAUUUCCUGCUCCCAUUAACAUCAUGCUGAAGAAAACUAAUCUAUCUCCACAGUUAUCACCUACUUCAUCACCAUCACUUCCAGUUAAACAAACAAAUCCUCUCAUCACACACACUCCAAGUUCAUGGGUAGUAACAGCUCAAGACAAGACCAAUUCGGAUGCGGUGUUCAAACGGAUUGAUAGUGAUGUUGAUGGGUAUGUGACAGGAGAGGAAGUUCGGGAUACACUAAUACAGUCAGGACUACCGCAGACUGUUUUAGCACAAAUAUGGAAUCUUUGUGAUAUCAAACAAACAGGAAAGUUAAACUCUGAACAGUUUGCAUUAGCCAUGUAUUUAGUACAAGAGUCUAAACAGGGCAAACCUGUUCCAGAGCACCUUACUUCUGAGAUGAUGCCGCCAUCGUCAAGACCAAAACCGGGAUCGGAGUCAGCUAUGCUCACAGAUCUUGGAUUAUCAGGAGCUGUUGGAGUUGACUUCAAUGCUAUUAAAGAGUUAGACGAUAUCCAAAAAGAAAUUGAUGACUGCAACAAAGAAAAAUUAAGUUUGAAGGCAGAAAUCAAGGAACAAGAAGAACAAGUGAAAAUGAAAACUCUGGAAAUACAGUCAUUGCAAUCAGAACUUGAUAGAACGUCAACACAAGUAAAACAACUUGAAGAUCAAAAAGGAGAAGCACAGAAGAAGCUGGAUGAGUUAGACCAACAGAAGGACAAAUUAGAAGGAUUAUUAAAAGAAGUGAAGCAGCAAUAUGAUGAAGCCAAAAAAAAUCUUGAAGACUUAAAAUUAGAAAUAGCAACCCAAGAAAAAUCAGUCAAGAACCAAGAGGAAGAAGUGAACCGAGCUCGUAUUGAUUUGAGCAAUUUAAGACAAGAGGAGAACCAAUUAGAACAACAAAUUGAACAGGGCAAAGGUCAAGUUGAUAUGUUGAAUCAGACAUUAAAGACAACAAAUCAAGAUAUACAACAGGUCCAAACAAAAAUAAAUAUAUUAAAAGAAAGUCAAAAUAAACUGAAUAACAGCAUCACCCAGAUAAACAAUGCCAUCGAUUCUGGAACCACCGCUGAAAUACUAGCAGUACAUGAACUUGAUAAGAUGGCACUGUCUCAAGAUCUUGAUGUAAUGAGUGUUAGACCUCAGCCUGGAGGAAGUCCAGGAAGCAGCAUAACAAGUGGGUUCAGUAUGAAUUCAGAAGUAACAGGUAAAAUGGAGGAUUUUGGUGAGGAUGAUCCGUUUAAAAAUAAAGAUCUUUUUAGUGGUCGCUAUGGUGGGUCAGUCACACCAGAUCCUUUCAAAACAACAGAUCCUUUUAAAGAAGAUCCAUUUAAAGGUGAUUCAUUUCCAGCAGAUCCAUUUGCUGGUGAUCCAUUUGGAUCAAGUUCAGAUCCUUUUGGUUCUCAGUCAUCAACUGUCCAGAGUGACCCUUUUCAAUCAGAUCCAUUCUCUUCGACGUCAUCAUCUCUUGUUAAUGGCCAGUCUGAGAGUAAAUCUUCUAGUAAUGUAUUUGGUGCCUUAGAUGCAUUUGGGGGAAGCACCUUUUCUGCAGAUUUCUCAAAUCAAAAUUCUAAAUCAGAAUCAUUUUCCAGCGAUCCAUUUAAAACCUCAGAAGAAAGACCUGCAUUACCACCCAAGAAACAGCACUCCAAAUCCAAAGCUCAAGCUUUUCAAGCAUUCACCAGCGACUCAAAUGACCCAUUCACAUCCAGUAGUAUUUCAAAGGAUCCUUUUGCAUCAGUUGGAUCAGAUCCUUUCUCAUCCCUCAUAUCAUCUACUAGUAGUAGUGGUAAUUCAAAGGAUCCAUUUUCAUCUGGUAACAGUUCACAAGAUCCAUUCUCUUUGGGAACAUCGUCAUCUCAGGAUCCAUUCUCUUCAUCAUCAAAUGAUCCUUUUAUUUCUUCAACUGGUUCUCUUCCAAAAUCUGGUGAUCCUUUUGGACCAUCUGGUGCUCCAGUAGAUAAAUCAGGAGGUGAUCCUUUUGCAGGAUUUGCUGAUUUUGGCAAGUUUGAUACAAAUAUGACUGAAGAAGAACAACUUGAGUGGGCCAAGAAAGAAAGUGAACAACUUGAAAAGGAUAGACAAUCAUCUGCACUGAAAGAAGAGGAGGAAUUAAAGAUCGCCCUCGCUCUAAGUAAGACAGAAGUUGGAUCAUCAGAAGUCUAACAUCAGAAAAAAGAAUCAAUGAAUUGUGCUCCGCUUCCUCUUGACAAUCCUAAAGUCUCACAUGUUAUUAGUAUCUAGAACUACAAUCCAAUAGUGUGCUUAUAAAAAUUUAAGUGAUUAAAAUUAAAACAUAAAAAAAUGUCACUAAUGCAAGGCACACAGAGCAUAGAUACUAAGUGCAGUGAUGCGUAAUGGUUUGUUUUAGAUGUCCUUUGUUUUUGCUGGAAGAAAACAAAGCACUGAUGGUUAUGAAGAAAAGGAUGGUGAUGCAUUUUUGUUUUAGAUGAACCCAGGAUAUUGCAAAUUCUUGGAUAAACAAAACCUUUCUUUCUGCACCCAUCUGUCUUGUGUCUUUUUUGCUGGUGAAAAUUAGAUAGGGUAUUUGCUAUUGUAAUUAAAAAACAAUUAAUCUACAGUAUUUGCUUAAAACAAAGCUUAUGUGGCUAGUUCACUGUUUAAACACUCCAUGUAAAUUUUGGUCCAAGUUCUAAAUCACUUGUUUAAUUUUCUUAUUGUAAAGUAAUGUAGUUUAAUUUUAUAACUAAGUUCAUGUAAGUAAAAUACUGCAUUAUGUUGCAAGAGUCAAUAUUUGUAAAUUGUCAUUUGAAGGAUUUAGAACCUUAGUACUGUAUUAACAUACUUUUCUUUCUCAGUAUGAGGGAAAAUUAUUUAGGAUUUCUAAAGUGGGUCAUAAAACAAUGAUGAAACUGUUAUACCAGACUUGAUUGGAUAAUAAAAGAGACUGUUAUGCCCAAUAUUGAUUGGUUAAUAAAACCAUUAUACAUUUCAUUUAAUGAUAAACAUAUUAUGCACCUAUUUGAUUGGAUGAUAAAGGUGUUAUAUUCAAUUUUCAAUUGAAUAAGUACACUAUUGUGCUCCUUUUUGAUUUGUUAUAAGACAGUUAUAUUGAUUAAUAAUUAGAUAAUUUUGCCAUAUAUUUCCCACCGUAUAUUAUAGUGUACCUGUUGUUAGGGUGACUAUAGAUUUGAAUUCCCAACUUCAUAUAAGGUUAAUAAGAAUUAUAUAAAAUUAUGUUAUAGGAUUAUUAUCAAAAAACAUGUUAUAUUUUCAUUGCGGUUUUUUUGGGCUCAGUACGGACUCUAAACGUAUGCAUUUUCUUUUAGUUUUAAGGCGUAUGCGGAUUUUAUAAGUCCGCAAUGACGAUAUAACAUGUUAAAAUCAGAAUCAGUGAGAAAAGUUACUUUUUUGGUUCCAGAUAUAUUGUUUGUUAAACCAAAAUUAUUAGUGAAAUUUAAAAUAGUGUAUAUGGCACAAAACUGUAAUUGUAAUAGGCCAACAAAAAUUAGGAUUUUUUGUUUGCUGAAAGGUUUCAAAUUAAUUAUGAUUUCAAAAAGCAAGACAACAAUUUUAAAUAUUGUUGUAGAAAACCAGCUUGAUACUGCCAAGUAACCUGACAUUUAAGUAAAUUGAAACUUAAAGUGUCAUGAACACUUGUAUAUUAUUGUAUCUGACUCUGCAAUAUAAAAAAAGCAGUGAAUUUUAACUGUAUUUACAUUUUCUGGAUAAGCAGGUGUAAAUUUUUCAUGAAUAAGGACUAAAGAAACUUAAGAAUGUUUUUGAGUAAGUGGCUUAUUGUAAUUGGCAAACAUUUUUUAUGGCUACAAUUUAUUGAGAUGACCAGUGAUUACUAGUAAUAGUUUUUACCAGGUUUAACAGUAUUUACUACAAGUAUUGACUAGUGUCUACCAAGUAUAAAAGUAUAUACUAGCAGUGUUUAAGCUGUCAUUCGCCAAAUAGCCAAAUCCUAAUAAAAACAGAAUUUUGCUAAAUAUUUUCAUUCAAAAUUAGCCAAAAAGCUAAUGGAAUUGAAAAUAUUAUUGCUUAUAUUCAUUUGUUUUGCCUAAUCAAGUUUCUGUUUGGCUAAUUAUUUUCAUACCAAAUUAGCCAAAUUGCAAAAUAUUAUUUUUGGCCAGCUUAAACCCUGUACUAGUGUUGACUAACAGUCUACUAGUGUUUACCAGGUAUAAUGUAUUUGCUGGUGUUGACUAGUUAUUACCAGAUUUAAUGGUAUUUACUAGUGCUGGUUAGUGUAUAACAAUAUUUACUAAUGUUUACAAGUAUCUACCAGGUUUAACAGUAUUUACAAGAGUUGACUAGUGUUUACUGGGUUUACAAUAUCUACUAGUGUUUACAAGAGUGUCCAAAAUGUUUAACAGUAUUUACUAUUUACUUUAACAUACCAAACUUGUCAUUAAUUUUGCCUUUUUUGCUAUUCUUAAAGUUUUUGAAAAUACAGAAUUGACAGCUUUUUAAUGCCACGUAUUCCAGUCACAAGAUACAGUACAAGGAAUCGUUUACUGUACAAAGGGGGAUUUCGGAAAUUCAUUCUUCACUGAGUAUCUGCACUGUAUUUAAUGCAUUUCUGAGGACAGGGAAAUCAAUCUUAUUGUGAUCAUGUUGACAAACUUAACAGUAAAUAUAUAUUAAGAUUUGUGAUUGAAGCAUGAACUAAUACUGUAGCACCGUAACUGAAGCAUGGGGCUAAUGGUACCGUGACUAAAGGAUGGAGCUAAUGGCACUGCGACUGAAGAAUGGAUGUAAUGGCACCGUGGCAGAAGCAUGGAGCUAAUGGUGGAGCAUUGCUCUAAUAGCACAGCGACAAGCAUGCAGCUAAUGGUUCUAAAACUGAAGCAUGGCAUUAAUGGUACCGUGACUGAAGUAUGGAGCCAAUGGCACCAUGACUAAAGCUUGGUGCUAAUGGUACCGUGACUGAAGCAUGGUGCUAAUGGUACCAUGACUAAAGCAUGGUGCUAAAUAGUACCGUGGCUAAAGCAUGGCAUUAAUGGUACCACGACUGAAGCAUGGUGCUAAUAGUACUGUGAUUGAAGAAUGAGCUAAUGGCACCAUGACUGAAGUAUGGACCUAGUAUCACCGUAAAAGAUGCAUGGCACUAAUACUGACCCUUAAAUCAGAUAGUACCGUGACUGAACCUAAGUUCUAACAGUACCAUAGCCAACAGCACUGACUGAACCUUAGAUCUCGUAGCACUGUGAUCGAUUACUUUUAAGCUCACGUCAUGCUUGUAACUGACAGCUUUUUUACACACUGAUUAUUUAUUUCAAAAUGCUUCACUGAACCAAGACAAGUGGUGUCUGAACAUUGUAUAUUGUUCCAUUAAAUGUAUACAAUUAAAUGCA